rnacentral:lncRNA from 1 species
CACAUAAUCUUUUGAGAGCAAAUCUAGAAAUACUGGUGAUGAAGAAGAAGACGAGGAGGGGGAAGAGGAGGAUCUUGAGAAUGUGGAAGCUAAUGUUGAUGAGCUUAUCCCCGAAUGUCCCAAGACCUACUUCUUUGGUUGCUCGUUAGUGACCCAACGGGACAUUGGCUUUUAUGUGGAGAAAGGUUAUUUUGCCGAUGGUGAUUGCAGAGCUCCGAACGAAGAAGAAAUUCCUGUUCCGAAACCUAAUGAGACUGCAGUAUUUUGUGACUUCUUUAUUUCUGGACCGAGAUUUCAUCUUGAAAAGGUUGUUGUUGAUAUUCUCAAUGCCUUCAAGGUUCAGCUGCACCAAC